GACGAACCGAGCGAACGUUGUUCGGAAUCAUUGGGCUUAAAGGGCGCGUAGGCGGCCGGCCGCGUCCGGGGUGAAAUCCCGCGGCUCAACCGCGGAACGGCCCCGGGUACGGGUCGGCUCGAGGGGGGUAGGGGCCCGCGGAACGGUGGGUGGAGCGGUGAAAUGCGUUGAGAUCCACCGGAACUCCGGCGGCGAAGGCGGCGGGCUGGACCCUUCCUGACGCUGAGGCGCGAAAGCCAGGGGAGCGAACGGG
rnacentral:rRNA from 1 species